rnacentral:lncRNA from 1 species
GCCUGCUAAGCGGCCGGGCUCUGCCGCCCGCCCGGCGAGCCCGCGCCACUUCCUGUGCGUCACUUCCGGCCCCCAGCAGUGUCCCCGCGCCCGGGCCGGGCCGGGCUCGGCCGCCGCCGCGGGCCUCCCAGAGCGCGGUGCGGCGUCCCCUGCGGCCUGGCGUCCCUGCCGGGCUCGGCGGCCUCUGCCCAGGCCUCGGUCCCCUCUGUGGCCCCGGUGACCACCGCCCGGCCUGGUCCCCUGCCCCGCCCGGUGUCCGCGGACCCCGGCGUCCCCUGUCCCGCCUGGCCCUCCGACCCGAGAGCACUCAGGCUCCGGUCCUUGAACACACCACGCUGCUGCAAAAGAAGAGAACAAAAAGCCAGACGCUGCUGUGGAGAUCUCCCCAGCCAUUUAACCCGGGGCCCCCUGGGAGCUACACCUGCCUGUUUCAGUUUUUGAGAUCUGCUGCUCCAGCAGCUGAGGUUAUAGCCAGAGUUCCCAACAAACCGGAGUUCAAUAAACUUUGUAAACAUUUUCUAAACAGAAUGAGAGUAUUAAACAGCAUUAAUGCUAAAAGGGAAUACUGAAAGGACAGAUAGAGCCAGGCAUGGUGGCAUAGGCCUGUAGUCCCGGCACUCCAGGAUGGUGAGGCUGGAGGGUCACAAGUUCCAGCCCAGCCCAGGAAAUUUAGCAAGCUAGCAAUACCCUGUCUCGGAAGUUUUUAAAAGGCUGGGGAUUUAGCUCAGUGGUGCUACCGCCUGCCUCGCAAGCGCAAGGUCCUGAGUUCAAUCCCCGGUACCAAAAAACAAAAAGCAGGCGGUACCUGUCUAUAACCGCAGCACCUGGAGGCUGAGCUGUGUGUUCAAAGCCAGCUGGAGCUACAUAGCCUGUACUGCAUAGUGGGACCUUGUCUCAAAACAAAAACAAAAAGCUGGGGAUAUACCCAGGGUGCAGGCUCUGCUUCAGCCCCGGGGUGGGUGUGGGGUGGAGAUUGUCACACCUAAGAUCUGAAUCAACGAAGACUUCACACCCAGGAGUCUGGAACCAUCUUUAGUUCUUCCAGAACAAAAUUCCUACCCUGGGUCCCAGGAGCCUGGAUUCAGGGAAACUAUUCCUUGGAUGGUCUGAACAGGACACCUUUGCCUGGGGUCCCUGGCUGCGUCCUCUCCCCAGGCGGGUCAGUCGCAGGCAGUGCUGGUGUCCCCCACAUCUCUGCCCAGGGUCAGAAGGGUCAGGGCAGCCGCUGUGCAUGGCUGGUGGGAGCCUGGUUUUUGUCUGUGCUGGACACUUGGCGUCGUCCUGGAGAGCCGCACAGUCAGACCUUCGCACUGGUCCCCAGGGUAGGCAGCCAGUUCUCCACCCCAACUCCAACUGUGACCUGCUUCCGCUUCUGCUUCCGUUUCCUGGGCCUCAGAAAGGUUGGCACUGUUUUUUGCUUUUUUACCCCCCAUUCUGGGGACUGAACCCAGGACCUUGCAAAUGUUAGGCAUUCUUUACCACUGAGCCACACCCCCACCCUGUUGUUUUUUAUUUUUCAUUCUGAGACAGUGUCUUGGUAAGUUACCCAGUGUGGCCUUGAACUUUCGAUCUUCCUGCCUCAGCCUCCCUGUGGUAGGGAUUACAGAUGUGUGUGCACCACUGUCCCUGGCUGCUGCCAGCUUGUUGCUGCCAGAUCACUUCUGACCGACUGGGUCUUGCAGGACAAGAACUGGUUCCUCUGGAAGGAGCAAGUGUCUUCUGGGCCUAGGAGAAACAGCCAGCAGGGCCCUGGGCAGGACCUGGUGAGGUGCUGGCCGGCCAGGUCCUGUGCUCCGCCUGCUCACCUAUCGCUUUCUCUGAGGGGAUGCAAGGCUGCCUUCUACUCCCUGGCCUCCCUGUGGGCAUGGCCCUGUGUCAGUAGCUCGGGGCUUGCUGGGUGCGAUUCAUUUUUGCCAGCCUGCAGUAUUCCGCCGUUUGCUUUAACCUGGGCCAUGCAGGAAAGGGUGGGAAAUCUCUGGGGUCUGAUCCUUCAUUUUGGCCCAAAGUCUUAAAGCCUCUACAAUGACCUCUGACCCCAUGAGACUCCCCCUUGAGGGUGGAUUCCAACCAGGGCCUCGCUUAUACUCAGAGUAAAGGACAGAGCUGGGGGUGGUGGUGCAUGCUUAUAAUCCCAGCUACAUGGGAGGCUGAGGCAGGAGGAUCACAAGUUCAAAGCCAGCCUGGGCAGUUUAGCAAGACCCUGUCUCAAACUCAAAAAAAAAAAAAAUUUUUAAGGGCUGGUGAUGUAGCUCAGGAGCAAAGUGCCCCAGUACUGCCGGAAAAAGAAACCAAACCAGAGCACCACCCAGUUCCCUAGUGCUGCUGGAUGAAUGUUAUUGAUUGGAAUUUGCCUAUGGAUGUGAAGUCAGGAUCCAACUUCUUUUCUUUUGGAAGUUAUUUAUUACUGUUUUUGUUUUUGUAUUUUUUGAGACAGGGUCUGGCUAUGUAGUCCAGGCUGGCCUUUAACUCACUUUGGAACCCAAGGGUGGCCUUCAACUUGCAGCAGUCCUCCUAUCCCAGCCUCGGAGUGCUGGGACUACAGGAGCAUGCCACCACGCCCAGCUUGUUCCUGCUAUUUUGAGGCAGGAUCUUGUGCAUUGUGUUGACCAGGCUAGCCUUGAACUCCUAGUUGUGGGCAAUCCUUCUGUCUCAGCCUUCUGACUUCUGAGACUACAGAUUGUGUAGGACCUUUUCUUGCUGGCGUGGUCCAUCAUCCUGGUAUCAGACUGACUCUUCAGGCACUCUGGGAGGCUGAGGCAGAAGGACUGCAAGUUGUAACCCAGCCUGUGCAAUUUAGUGACUUAGCAAGAUCCUGUCUCAAAAUAAAACAUUUUUACAAAGGAAUGCGGGG